GACGAACGCUGGCGGCGUGCCUAAUACAUGCAAGUAGAACGCAGUUGCGAACGGGUGAGUAACGCGUAGGUAACUGCCUCAUAGCGGGGGAUAACUAUUGGAAACGAUAGCUAAUACCGCAUACUGUGAGAUGGACAUGCGUUGUAUUAGCUAGUUGGUGAGGUAAAGGGCCACCAAGGCGACGGUACAUAGCCGGCCUGAGAGGGAGAUCCACCACCACGGGAACUGGACACGGCCCAGACUCCUUACGGAAGCAGCAGUAGGGGAACUUCGGCAAUGGGGGGAAAUCUUACCCAGCAACGCCGCCUGGGGGAAGGAGGGUUUCGGAUCGUUAAACUCUUUUAUUUGAGAAGCGGUAACUAACCAGAAAGGGACGGCUAACUACGUGCCAGCAGCCGCGGUAAUAC
rnacentral:rRNA from 1 species